rnacentral:rRNA from 1 species
UACGGGGGGGGCAAGCGUUGUUCGGAAUUACUGGGCGUAAAGGGCUCGUAGGUGGCCAACUAAGUCAGACGUGAAAUCCCUCAGCUUAACUGGGGAACUGCGUCUGAUACUGGAUGGCUUGAGUUUGGGAGAGGGAUGCGGAACUCCUGGUGUAGCGGUGGAAUGCGCAGAUAUCAGGAAGAACACCGGUGGCGAAGGCGGCUCUCUGGGCCUUACCUGACGCUGAGGAGCGAAAGCGUGGGUAGCGAACAGG